rnacentral:rRNA from 1 species
UACGUAGGGGGCUAGCGUUGUCCGGAAUCAUUGGGCGUAAAGAGCGUGUAGGCGGUUUGUCGCGUCUGCUGUGAAAAUCCGGGGCUCAACCCCGGACUUGCAGUGGGUACGGGCAGACUAGAGUGUGGUAGGGGAGACUGGAAUUCCUGGUGUAGCGGUGAAAUGCGCAGAUAUCAGGAGGAACACCGAUGGCGAAGGCAGGUCUCUGGGCCACUACUGACGCUGAGAAGCGAAAGCAUGGGGAGCGAAACAGG